UUCAUAAGUACGUACAAAAAACUAAGCAAACAGAAUACAAUUUUUAACUCCAGAUAAACAAAAUAAAUGCGAGAAAGUAAAAGUAAUUUUCACAUACUACAAAGUUGAGCUGUGCAUAGUGUUUACACUGUCCUACUAAAGUGUAAGCAUCAUCCUGAAAGGACAGUCUAUGUGUAUUACUAAUCCAGUACGCCUUCUAUUCUUCUUCUACCCAUCCCCCAAUCCUCAUCACAUAAGAGCACAGGCAGCCCCAGCAGAUCUUUCUAAUCCUAUGCAAGGACAGCCCCUUCCAACAUGUUAAAAUAUAAAAGAGCUGACAGCUAGAGAAAUCAGAAGAAUCCUCACAGGUCUGGUAGAAAACACAGCAAGGAAAGGAAGAAACAACUGAAUGAGUAUAUGUCCGCUGUGGACAGAACUGCAGCACAGGUGCAUAUGAAGAGGUGCAUCUAUCCCUAGACUGGAGGCACCUGGACCUCAUCCAUACCUGCAUCACGCAUUAGCAAUCAACCAGUGCACGAUUUCUACCCUGGCACCUUUAGCUGACUUCUCAUCAGACUUCAGUGGCAGUGCAGAGGAAAGCUUCUUUUGUGAACUACAAAAUCAUCUAUGGAGGAAGGCAUUAAUUAAUGUUAAUAUCAUUACCCGCUAUUACUACUGAAAAGACACCUCAGAUGCAGGAUGGUGGGUCAACAGAUUAAUCUUCCCAUACUCUAUUCAAAAGCAAAUUCUGACACUUGAUUUUUUCCUUCCUUGAUGGAAAUUAAGGGGAAAAAAUGAGGAGGAUGGUUCUUUUGAAAGAUUUGCCUGUACUCUUAACUCGUUUCAAACCUCAGUUUCAAAAGCAGUGAGUUGUUUCAUUUAAUCAGUGAGAAAGCAUAUCCCACAAAAGGCAGCUCCCUGAAGGGCAAGCUGCUCAAACACCGUUUCCAUGGCUGCCUGCUGCAACAAUAUUUUUUACUGAACUAAGCAUUGCUAAUUUUAGCCACGGAUUAUCUGGAAAGCAAGGAAGAAAUAGAUGAAAGGCAAUUUUUACCUGAGCCACAUGAGCCCCAGAGAACUUUUACUAAGAUAGAGAUGCUACUAGAAAAAGCAACUAUGUAACUCCGAUGCCUUGGGGACAUUUUUCAACUGCUCUCCAUCAGCACCUGGACGAAGGAGGGAGAUACCACUUUCCUGAUUCAGGAGGAAAUAGCAACUCAGUGGUGAAAUUAUUUGAUCCAGAUCAUGACAGCCUGUAUAAGAAAGCAGAGUAUCAUCCCAGUCUGACUUCUAGUCCCAGGCCCUUCCAUUAAAGGAGCAAUAUUUGCUUUGAGGGCUAAGCUAUUUUGGAUGCUGGUUCCAGUAAGCUGUGUCAUGAUGGGACUUGAAAUAAAGAUCUGCAUAGGGAGGACAGGAAAUAAUAUCUAUAAUAAGAUUACUUUGAUUUUGACCAAGGCAAUAAGGUUAAAAAAAGCAACACACAGAUGCUGUCCCAUUCGCAGAGUCAGAUACUGCUGAAAUAAGUGACGUUAAACUAUCUACAAAGAAACCACAGAGAGGAAGAUAGAUUCUUUAUGAUCUCAGCUGCUAUAUCUUCCAUAAGCAACAAAUCCUCUAGGCAAUAAUGGAUUGCUUAAUUGCAUUUGGAAUUGUCCAGAUCCCAGCAUGGGAUGCAGAGGUAAUCCCUAUGGGAUCUCAAAUGAGGAGACAAUGAGCCCUUAUGAACAGGGGCUAAAGAGUCAAGUCAAGCCCCUGUGGGUACAGGACUUUAGCAAGUCCUGGUGAGUCCCAGUCCCAGGUCCCACUGAUACUCACUGUCUAGGGUCGGUGGCUGCAACCCCUAGGGUAGACUAAUUCUAUAUAGCCUUCAGCAAAUUUCAGAAUGCUCUGUGUCCCCUUCCUUCUCUCUCUCCUUUUUUCAGACUCUCAUUUGU